rnacentral:rRNA from 1 species
UACGGGGGGAGCAAGCGUUGUUCGGAUUUACUGGGCGUAAAGGGCGCGUAGGCGGCCACCGCAAGUCGACUGUGAAAUCUCCGGGCUUAACCCGGAAAGGUCAGCCGAUACUGCGGGGCUAGAGUGCAGAAGGGGCAACUGGAAUUCUCGGUGUAGCGGUGAAAUGCGUAGAUAUCGGGAGGAAUACCGAUGGCGAAGGCAGGUCUCUGGGCUGACACUGACGCUCAUGCACGAAAGCGUGGGGAGCAAACAGG